GGCCCCCCGCGGCUUAAACUUACGGUGCCCAGGCAGGCGCGCCGUUAAUACCGUAUGGGGGCAAGCGUUAUCCGGGAAUUACUGGGUGUAAAGGGAGCGUAGACGGCGAGGCAAGUCUGAAGUGAAAGCCUUGUGCUUAACGCAGGGACUGCUUUGGAAACUGUUUGGCUGGAGUGCCGGAGAGGUAAGCGGAAUUCCUAGUGUAGCGGUGAAAUGCGUAGAUAUUAGGAAGAACACCAGUGGCGAAGGCGGCUUACUGGACGGUAACUGACGUUGAGGCUCGAAAGCGUGGGGAGCAAACAGGAUUAGAUACCCUGGUAGUCCACGCGGUAAACGAUGAUUGCUAGGUGUAGGUGGGUAUGGACCCAUCGGUGCCGCAGCCAACGCAGUAAGCAAUCCACCUGGGGAGUACGUUCGCAAGAAUGAAACUCAAAGGAAUUGACGGGGACCCGCACAAGCGGUGAGCAUGUGGUUAAUUCGAAGCAACGCGAAGAACCUUACCAAGUCUUGACAUCUGGAUGACAGAGCAUGUAAAGUGCUUUCUCUUCGGAGCAUCCAAGACAGGUGGUGCAUGGUUGUCGUCAGCUCGUGUCGUGAGAUGUUGGGUUAAGUCCCGCAACGAGCGCAACCCUUAUUCCUAGUAGCCAGCGGAUAAAGCCGGGCACUCUAGGGAGACUGCCGGGGAUAACCCGGAGGAAGGUGGGGAUGACGUCAAAUCAUCAUGCCCCUUAUGAUUUGGGCUACACACGUGCUACAAUGGCGUAAACAAAGGGAAGCGAACCUGCGAGGGGGAGCGAAACCCAAAAAUAACGUCCCAGUUCGGACUGCAGUCUGCAACCCGACUGCACGAAGCUGGAAUCGCUAGUAAUCGCGGAUCAGAAUGCCGCGGUGAAUACGUUCCCGGGUCUUGUACACACCGCCCGUCACACCAUGGGAGUCGGAAAUGCCCGAAGUCUGUGACCUAACCGAAAGGGGGGAGCAGCCGAAGGCAGGUCGGAUGACUGGGGUGAAGUCGUAAUCAAGGUAG
rnacentral:rRNA from 1 species